AGUGCCCGCUUUCUUUAUUCCUAACACAUGCAAGUCGAACGGCAGCACAGUAAGAGCUUGCUCUUACGGGUGGCGAGUGGCGGACGGGUGAGGAAUACAUCGGAAUCUACUUUUUCGUGGGGGAUAACGUAGGGAAACUUACGCUAAUACCGCAUACGACCUACGGGUGAAAGCAGGGGAUCUUCGGACCUUGCGCGAUUGAAUGAGCCGAUGUCGGAUUAGCUAGUUGGCGGGGUAAAGGCCCACCAAGGCGACGAUCCGUAGCUGGUCUGAGAGGAUGAUCAGCCACACUGGAACUGAGACACGGUCCAGACUCCUACGGGAGGCAGCAGUGGGGAAUAUUGGACAAUGGGCGCAAGCCUGAUCCAGCCAUACCGCGUGGGUGAAGAAGGCCUUCGGGUUGUAAAGCCCUUUUGUUGGGAAAGAAAAGCAGCAGGUUAAUACCCCGCUGUUCUGACGGUACCCAAAGAAUAAGCACCGGCUAACUUCGUG
rnacentral:rRNA from 1 species